rnacentral:sRNA from 1 species
UGGCAACAGCCGCACAAAUUUAGGGAGCGAAACCAGGUUGUGUCUUAAUUGAUGAUGCGAUGUGAUGAGAUGAGCUUCGCACUGUCAGCUCCCUCUUCGUUUGCCAGCUCCAGAUGGUAAGGAGGAUUUCUCAAUUUAACCAGUUUCAUUUGGGUUCUUCUCUUUCGACGUGUUCCAUCCACUACCCUAUGAUGGUCAUUGUGUUAUGCAAUUGAUUUGAUGGUCUUAUUUCCUUCCUAUCGAUCUCAUAAUUGCACGGUACAGCAAUACAGUCGACUUUGAUACCUUGAUCAGCAAGCUACUUGCUCCACCCAUCGGCAAACAUGUGGAAGGCAAAUGGGGAGUGUGAAGUUGCCUCUGCAACAAAUAUUUAUCUUUGGCCUUGUCCGACUACUUGACAGGUUUCCAAGAUCAUAUUACACUGGUCAUAUCAAACUCAGUGUACUUCGUUCUCGAACAUAGCAGAAACGGUCAAUAUGAGAUGCUCUAGCAGAAAUGCCAUUGAUUCGCAAUUGCUCUUGUCCAGGCUUUCAUAUGAUCUCUGUGUGCUUUAUUAUUUAAUACUCCGUUUGUUCAACUGUGUCUUAGAAGAACGGUGGUGUGGUAGCAGCUCUUAUGACUUGUAACAGGAAGUUCAAUUGCGCAUCCGCGCGUACUCCAUCGUCACGUUGGCGCUCUGAUAACAACAUUCACUUGUUGUGGUCUGCUUGCCGUCUUCAAUCUUCAUUUUAACAACCAGAGCAGUAUCAGCACCUACAGCCUGACUUUGGCGUCGGCAACAAGUUUUGAAUCUUUUGAGUAAUUAGUUUGGCAGGAAGACCGGUUAGGUAAAAGAGAGGCUGGUUUUCUUGCAAACGAUCGCACUAAAGUCUUUCCAAUAUAGAAACUAUUUUUUAUACACUGCUAACAUGUAUGUACUUAAGAAGUAGGAACAACAUCCUGUUAGUUCACCAGCAACCAGUAUUAGCCCUCCCUCCCUCAAUGAAGUUAAAAAAGCUCAUCUGAAGCAUUUAACUAAUAUUCAAACAAUGUCAUAGUAAAUUUAAAUAGACUCAAAUCAUAUAUUCAACUCAUCAAUAUAUUGACGCAAUCAUUUUAACUCUGAUAUGCAUCGACCAGUUGUUCUAACAAAGCACGCUGCUGUUUAUUAAUAAGUAGCAGCAAAAUGUAUACUUUCAUUAUUUCCAAAUUCCUAUAUAGUUUAUAAAAUUUCUUUUUCUAAGUACAUCAAAUUGACCAAAAGUUCUGUUUAAACUUUCAACAAUUGAAAAAUUUAUGCAAAAAUUUAAGAUGCUGCAGAAAGUUGAAGAAAAAUUAAUAUUCUUAAAAUUAUACAUAACAUAUAAUUUAUUACGUACCGGUCGACACGAGAUAACUAUUAGCACCACACGGUCUGGAACUUUGAGCUCCAACUUGAGUGGUGUUCAUCGUUAUCACGGGAAGCUUAGCUACAGGUUGGAUCCACAGAUUGCGGAUAGUGGAAAGCUUCGAAUUUAUGAGGAGUAGCUGCAAAUGCGGCGGCAGGCAGUCAGCGAUUCGAGAGGAGGGUCUCAGUAAGGGGUCUGGUUGCAUUGACUCUUACUUAAAUAAUGUGUGGCAAUAAUACUCGAAAUGACAAGGCGGGUUAUUGGCGCCUUCAAAUAACCAAUGGCUAACAUCAGCGUCUGUUCCCAGGUUAGGCCCAAUCGCAUGGAGUCAAGCCAUGCGAUUGGAGCGUUGAGUCCCUUAACAUCGACGACCCACGCCAAAGAAAAAGGACCAUGAUCUGCGGAUCUUCACUAGGAAUGUCCGGACUCUUCAUACAGAAGGUGCAGUAUACACACUGGCGGAUGUAUUAGAGAAGUGACGUGAGAAGUACAAGGCAGAU